rnacentral:rRNA from 1 species
CCUACGGGAGGCAGCAGUGGGGAAUAUUGCACAAUGGGGGAAACCCUGAUGCAGCGACGCCGCGUGAGUGAAGAAGUACUUCGUUAUGUAAAGCUCUAUCAGCAGGGAAGAAAAUGACGGUACCUGAGUAAGAAGCCCCGGCUAACUACGUGCCAGCAGCCGCGGUCAUACGUAGGGGGCAAGCGUUAUACGGAUUUUCUGGGUGUAAAGGGAGCGUAGACGGCAGUGCAAGUCUGGAGUGAAAGGCGGGGGCUCAACCCCCGGACUGCUCUGGAAACUGUACGGCUGGAGUGCAGGAGAGGUAAGUGGAAUUCCUGGUGUAGCGGUGAAAUGCGUAGAUAUUAGGAGGAACACCGGUGGCGAAGGCGGCUUACUGGACUGUAACUGACGUUGAGGCUCGAAAGCGUGGGGAGCAAACAGGAGUAGAUACCCGUGUAGUC